GCUUGACUGGUUAUGCAUGAUUGGUUUUUGCUGUGAUUUUUAUUAGAAUUUGGUUAGUUGGGUUAUGUGUAGAAAUUUUGGGGCUUCACCCAUGCUUGGUGUUAUUAUGUUCUUGCAGACCAAUAUGUGUGUGUUUAAACCUUCAUUGAAGGUGCUUUGGGUAUAUAGGUGAUUAUAAAUAGAAUGUAAUGUGAUGGUAUUGUGCUAUAUCAAUGUGCAGUUAUCAAUGUGAUGGUAUUGUUAUAGUGUAAAUAGAAUGCAAUGUGAUGGUUUGGAUGUUAUAUGUUUGUGGCUGAUUUUAUUUAUGGUGUAAUCAAUAGCAUACUUGUUUACAUACCUCUUAGACUACAAUGUUUGUGAUUUUGUUAGAUGAAGAAAAAAACCAAAGCCGCAAUUCUUGCCUCAGUUGCAUCUGUCCUCCUUGUGGGGGUUGCAUUGUUAAAGAAAUUACGACGUAGACGUAGAGAUCUGCCUAGGUCGCCUUAUGUUAACCAUGCCGCCGAGAGAGAGGAAUACAUAAAUAGUGUUUUGCAUGGAAGUGAGAGACAUUGUGUGAAUCAACUUAGGAUGAAGCCUAUAGCUUUCCACCACUUAUGUCACACCCUCACUGAGGGGGAGCACGUACGUCCGACUGUUCACAUGUCUGUUACGGAGCAAGUGUUCAUUUUCUUGCACAUUAUUGGUCAUAAUGUGAGGUUUCGUGUAAUGGGUAGUCGGAUCUAUAGAUCAACUGAGACUGUUCAUAGAUACUUCAAGGUUGUCCUUAGGGGGGUCCUGAAAUUAUAUAGAGCUCUAAUAAGACUGCGUAGCGAAGAUACACCUCCAGAGAUAAGGAAUAGCAGAAGGUUUUACCCAUAUUUUAAGGAUUGUGUUGGAGCAAUAGAUGGUACACAUGUUCGUGCAUCUGUGCCACCUGAAAUACAAGGAAGAUUUCGUGGUCGCAAAGAUGGAACCACGCAAAAUGUGUUAGCUGCCAUUAGUUUUGACUUAAAGUUCACUUAUGUGUUGGCUGGAUAGGAAGGCAGUGCACAUGAUUCACGUGUAUUAAAUGAUGCAUUUGCUAGGCCAGGGGGAUUUUCAAUUCCCAAUGGUAAAUUUUAUCUUGGUGAUGCUGGGUAUGGUAAUAAAAAUGGAAUAUUGUCACCGUAUCAGAGUGUACGAUAUCACUUGAAAGAGUUUAGUGAUCGUCCUCCUGAGAAUGCGCAAGAAUUGUUCAACCUCCGACACUCUUCAUUGAGAACUACCAUUGAGCGAGGGUUUGGAGUGGUGAAAAAACGUUUUCGAGUGUUGGAUGCAGAACCAUAUUGGUCUUUCCCAACCCAAGUGAAAGUAGUGUUAGCGUGUUGUGUGGUUCAUAAUCACAUUAUGGGGGUUGAACCAAAUGACCAUAUUAUGGAAGAUGCAAUGAACCAAGUAGAGCUUAGUGACCACCAACAAGAAACACAAUCCCGUCGGGAGUCCGUCGAAGAUAGUAGAUCAUGGAAUGCUAAGAGAGAUGAGAUAUGCCAAGCCAUGUGGUCUGAUUAUAUUAGGAGUGGAGAGUAGUACUAUAUUUAGAUUUUUAUGAUUGUAAUGUGUUUUUUCUUUUUGU